GGUGGUGCAUGGUUGUCGUCAGCUCGUGUCGUGAGAUGUUGGGUUAAGUCCCGCAACGAGCGCAACCCUUAAGCUUAGUUGCCAGCAUUAAGUUGGGCACUCUAAGUUGACUGCCGGUGACAAACCGGAGGAAGGUGGGGAUGACGUCAAAUCAUCAUGCCCCUUAUGAUUUGGGCUACACACGUGCUACAAUGGACAAUACAAAGGGCAGCUAAACCGCGAGGUCAUGCAAAUCSCAUAAAGUUGUUCUCAGUUCGGAUUGUAGUCUGCAACUCGACUACAUGAAGCUGGAAUCGCUAGUAAUCGUAGAUCAGCAUGCUACGGUGAAUACGUUCCCGGGUCUUGUACAC
rnacentral:rRNA from 1 species